rnacentral:rRNA from 1 species
GAUGAACGCUGGCGGCGUGCUUAACACAUGCAAGUCGAACGGAAAGGCCCAAGCUUGCUUGGGUUCUCGAGUGGCGAACGGGUGAGUAACACGUGGGUGAUCUGCCCUGCACUUCGGGAUAAGCCUUGGAAACUGGGUCUAAUACCGGAUAGGACGAUGGUUUGGAUGCCAUUGUGGAAAGUUUUUUCGGUGUGGGAUGAGCUCGCGGCCUAUCCGCUUUUUGAUGGGGUAAUGGCCUACCAAGGCGUCGACGGGUAGCCGGCCUGAGAGGGUGUACGGCCACAUUGGGACUGAGAGACGGCCCAGACUCCGACAGGAGGCAGCAGGGGGGAAUAUUGGACAAUGGGCGCAAGCCUGAUGCAGCGACGCCGCGGGGGGGAUGACGGCCUUCGGGUUGUAAACUCCUUUCGCUAGGGACGAAGCGUUGUUGUGACGGUACCUGGAGAAGAAGCACCGGCUAACUACGUG